CUAAAUGUAAUACUUUCCACCACUGGGGUUAAUACAUCUGGGUUUGGAACCGAUAGGUGGCUUGGUUUUAAGGUUUGCCUUUUAAAAAACACAGAGUUCUCUUGUUUCUGAUAUCAGAUUACAGCUUGUUUGUGUUGUUACAAUAUGCAAACACAAUUCUUGCACGAGUAGCUCAUGUUAAUGCUAUUCCUGGUCUCAGACUCCGUAGAUACUGGAUGGCAAUCAGGCAUCUGAACCCUGGCAUGCACUACUACCAGGCUGUCCUGUGAGUAACCUAAUGUCCAGAGCUGAACUCUGUCCGCUUGUUUCCAGACAUGAACCCAGCUGAGGAGUCGCUAUGCAGGAGCAAAUCCUCCAGCUCAGUGUGCAGCCUGCAGGGGGAAUGAGCAACCCGACUACAGCCUGACACCAACAGACAAUAUGCCAAACUCUUAACCAAUUCUGCUCAGUGGUUAUAACCCGCUGAACCCGAUAUCAAAGUGCAAAUAAACAACAGGAAAUCGCGAUAGGUCACCAAAUACGCCCCGCUGAAAAAAAUCCCGUGAAGCGCAUAAACCGAGCUAAAAACGUAGCAUAACGUAGUCGUAUGCCAACUUAGUUUGACAUAUCAUGUGUACAAAGAAAGUUUCACCAGUCAUGCCAACAUUAGGGAGUAGCAUUUUCUGUGUUACAUAACCAAAAUGUGUUGUUGCCUGUAUUUUCCCUCCCAUACGCUUUCCUGGUUGCAACGGAGCAACCCCGACUGUCCCCGUAAGCCUCUAGCGGCAAGGACUGCACCGAUGCCCGGCGUGCAGCGUUAGGAGACUCCGCAGAGCAACCAUGUUUCUUGGUACCGGCCACGGUUGUCAAAAGCCACGGUAAUCGGUCAGUAACGCCGCUAAACGAUGCAGUUAAUGGAUGCUUAUCCUGUGCAUGGUUGAGUCUACUACAAUUUAAAGGCUGCAUUGUGAGCAGUAGGCUUGUAACGCCAAACUGGACCAGCACAUCUAACCAGUAGACUCUGGUCAUGGCCCUGUUUAUUGGGGAAAUACUUUGUCAGAGGCUUUGGAUAUAAAUGAUCAGCCAAAUAUGUCUGGAUGGCCAUCUUUGUAGCUCCAAAAAGCACACAGAUAUUAUAGCUUUUUAAUCAUUGUGAGCCAAUAAUUGAUUAUUUUAGAUUCGAAGUUGCCUUGUCCUCUUGAAACAUGUUACAUUGGGAUAUAUAUGGGAAUACAAUCUGGGAUACAUUUCUCAAAAAGUCUGUGUAUUGUGUAUGUACAUAUUGUAUAGCAUGUAACCUUGAAUAAAGCAAAAAAGGGAACAAAAAUGUCAUUAUGACUCCUAUAAGUUGCCUCUAUUAAGUAUUCCUAACAUUUCUAUUAGAUUUGGAGGGAUACGGAGCAAAUCUGUAAGCUCUGCCUUCACUUUAUACUAUUAUGAUGUAUCUGUGAAAUAGGAUUGUUGUUGUCAUGCUGUACUAUCACCGUGCCUCUGAUCCUUGUUCUAUUGUUUGUCACAGUUUGGUGGGUUUCUUUCAAGGGUUGUUCUUCUGAUCCCAAAAAGAAACACAGCUCCUCGAGAGGCAAUUAAUCCAUCAACGUGUCUGGACAUUUGUCUUCUGUCAGUAAACAUUCUGUUCUGUUUAGCCUUGAGUUUUCUGCUGUUCAGUCAGUGGAGUAUAGUUAUUAUUUUGAUUUAAAUAAAGAACCAGCUUAAACCAG